GACGAACGCUGGCGGCGUGCCUAAUACAUGCAAGUCGAACGAACCGCGACUAGGUGCUUGCACUUGGUCAAGGUGAGUGGCGAACGGGUGAGUAACACGUGGGUAACCUACCUCAUAGUGGGGGAUAACAGUCGGAAACGACUGCUAAUACCGCAUAGGACAUAGGAUCACAUGAUUCUGUGAGGAAAGGUGGCGCAAGCUGUCGCUAAGAGAUGGACCCGCGGUGCAUUAGCUAGUUGGUAGGGUAAAGGCCUACCAAGGCGAUGAUGCAUAGCCGACCUGAGAGGGUGAUCGGCCACAUUGGGACUGAGACACGGCCCAAACUCCUACGGGAGGCAGCAGUUGGGAAUCUUCCGCAAUGGACGCAAGUCUGACGGAGCAACGCCGCGUGAGUGAAGAAGGUCUUCGGAUCGUAAAGCUCUGUUGUUAGAGAAGAACAGCGCAUAGAGUAACUGUUAUGCGUGUGACGGUAUCUAACCAGAAAGCCACGGCUAACUACGUG
rnacentral:rRNA from 1 species